AUUGAACGCUGGCGGCAUGCCUUACACAUGCAAGUCGAACGGCAGCACGGGAGCAAUCCUGGUGGCGAGUGGCGAACGGGUGAGUAAUAUAUCGGAACGUGCCCAGUCGUGGGGGAUAACGUAGCGAAAGCUACGCUAAUACCGCAUACGAUCUAUGGAUGAAAGCGGGGGAUCGCAAGACCUCGCGCGAUUGGAGCGGCCGAUAUCAGAUUAGGUAGUUGGUGAGGUAAAGGCUCGCCAAGCCGACGAUCUGUAGCUGGUCUGAGAGGACGACCAGCCACACUGGGACUGAGACACGGCCCAGACUCCUACGGGAGGCAGCAGUGGGGAAUUUUUGGACAAUGGGCGCAAGCCUGAUCCAGCAAUGCCGCGUGCAGGAUGAAGGCCUCGGUUGUAAC
rnacentral:rRNA from 1 species